UACGGAGGAUGCGAGCGUUAUCCGGAUUUAUUGGGUUUAAAGGGUGCGUAGGCGGAAUAUCAAGUCAGCGGUAAAAAUUCGGGGCUCAACCCCGUCGUGCCGUUGAAACUGGCUGUCUUGAGAUGUCGAGAGGUAUGCGGAAUGCGCAGUGUAGCGGUGAAAUGCUUAGAUAUCACGAAGAACCCCGAUUGCGAAGGCAGCAUACCGGCGCCCUACUGACGCUGAGGCACGAAAGUGCGGGUAUCGAACAGG
rnacentral:rRNA from 1 species